rnacentral:misc_RNA from 1 species
GCGUGCUAGUAAUGAGAAAGGUAUUGCUAUGCAUAGCUUGUCAACUAUGAAGGUAAAUUAGGAAUGGUUGAAUCCAUAUAGAAGUUUCACCCUGCUCCAUCCUGCUAAAGCGCAUGGUUCUUGGCUUCUCUGUUUUGUGAAGAUUUUAGUUUUCUAGUGAUUUACAUGUGUAAAGGAGAUGUUUGUUGUGAUAACGUGUAUUGGGGAUGGUUACUUGGCUCAUUCAUA